rnacentral:rRNA from 1 species
UACGGAGGGAGCUAGCGUUGUUCGGAAUUACUGGGCGUAAAGCGCGCGUAGGCGGCCUUGCAAGUUAGAGGUGAAAGCCCGGAGCUCAACUCCGGAACUGCCUUUAAAACUGCGUAGCUUGAAUCCGGGAGAGGUGAGUGGAAUUCCCAGUGUAGCGGUGAAAUGCGUAGAUAUUGGGAGGAACACCAGUGGCGAAGGCGGCUCACUGGACCGGUACUGACGCUGAUGCGCGAAAGCGUGGGGAGCAAACGGG